GACGAACGCUGGCGGCGUGCUUAACACAUGCAAGUCGAACGGAAAGGCCCUGCUUUUGUGGGGUGCUCGAGUGGCGAACGGGUGAGUAACACGUGAGUAACCUGCCCUUGACUUUGGGAUAACUUCAGGAAACUGGGGCUCAUACCGGAUAGGAGCUCCUGCUGCAUGGUGGGGGUUGGAAAGAUUCGGCGGUUGGGGAUGGACUCGCGGCUUAUCAGCUUGUUGGUGGGGUAGUGGCUUACAAAGGCUUUGACGGGUAGCCGGCCUGAGAGGCUGACCGGCCACAUUGGGACUGAGAUACGGCCCAGACUCCUACGGGAGGCAGCAGGGGGGAAUAUUGCACAAUGGGCGGAAGCCUGAUGCAGCAACGCCGCGUGCGGGAUGACGGCCUUCGGGUUGUAAACCGCUUUCGCCUGUGACGAAGCGUGAGUGACGGUAAUGGGUAAAGAAGCACCGGCUAACUACGUG
rnacentral:rRNA from 1 species